GAUGAACGCUGGCGGCGUGCCUAAUACAUGCAAGUCGAGCGAACAGACGAGGAGCUUGCUCCUCUGACGUUAGCGGCGGACGGGUGAGUAACACGUGGAUAACCUACCUAUAAGACUGGGAUAACUUCGGGAAACCGGAGCUAAUACCGGAUAAUAUAUUGAACCGCAUGGUUCAAUAGUGAAAGACGGUUUUGCUGUCACUUAUAGAUGGAUCCGCGCCGCAUUAGCUAGUUGGUAAGGUAACGGCUUACCAAGGCAACGAUGCGUAGCCGACCUGAGAGGGUGAUCGGCCACACUGGAACUGAGACACGGUCCAGACUCCUACGGGAGGCAGCAGUAGGGAAUCUUCCGCAGUGGGCGAAAGCCUGACGGAGCAACGCCGCGUGAGUGAUGAAGGUCUUCGGAUCGUAAAACUCUGUUAUUAGGGAAGAACAAAUGUGUAAGUAACUAUGCACGUCUUGACGGUAACUAAUCAGAAAGCCACGGCUAACUACGUG
rnacentral:rRNA from 1 species